GACGAACGCUGGCGGCGUGCCUAAUACAUGCAAGUAGAACGCUGAAGAGAGGAGCUUGCUCUUCUUGGAUGAGUUGCGAACGGGUGAGUAACGCGUAGGUAACCUGCCUUGUAGCGGGGGAUAACUAUUGGAAACGAUAGCUAAUACCGCAUAACAAUGGAUGACACAUGUCAUUUAUUUGAAAGGGGCAAUUGCUCCACUACAAGAUGGACCUGCGUUGUAUUAGCUAGUAGGUGAGGUAAUGGCUCACCUAGGCGACGAUACAUAGCCGACCUGAGAGGGUGAUCGGCCACACUGGGACUGAGACACGGCCCAGACUCCUACGGGAGGCAGCAGUAGGGAAUCUUCGGCAAUGGGGGCAACCCUGACCGAGCAACGCCGCGUGAGUGAAGAAGGUUUUCGGAUCGUAAAGCUCUGUUGUAAGUCAAGAACGGGUGUGAGAGUGGAAAGUUCACACUGUGACGGUAGCUUACCAGAAAGGGACGGCUAACUACGUGCCAGCAGCCGCGGUAAUACGUAGGUCCCGAGCGUUGUCCGGAUUUAUUGGGCGUAAAGCGAGCGCAGGCGGUUUGAUAAGUCUGAAGUUAAAGGCUGUGGCUCAACCAUAGUUCGCUUUGGAAACUGUCAAACUUGAGUGCAGAAGGGGAGAGUGGAAUUCCAUGUGUAGCGGUGAAAUGCGUAGAUAUAUGGAGGAACACCGGUGGCGAAAGCGGCUCUCUGGUCUGUAACUGACGCUGAGGCUCGAAAGCGUGGGGAGCGAACAGGAUUAGAUACCCUGGUAGUCCACGCCGUAAACGAUGAGUGCUAGGUGUUGGAUCCUUUCCGGGAUUCAGUGCCGCAGCUAACGCAUUAAGCACUCCGGCCUGGGGAGUACGACCGCAAGGUUGAAACUCAAAGGAAUUGACGGGGGCCCGCACAAGCGGUGGAGCAUGUGGUUUAAUUCGAAGCAACGCGAAGAACCUUACCAGGUCUUGACAUCCCGAUGCUAUUUCUAGAGAUAGAAAGUUACUUCGGUACAUCGGUGACAGGUGGUGCAUGGUUGUCGUCAGCUCGUGUCGUGAGAUGUUGGGUUAAGUCCCGCAACGAGCGCAACCCCUAUUGUUAGUUGCCAUCAUUCAGUUGGGCACUCUAGCGAGACUGCCGGUAAUAAACCGGAGGAAGGUGGGGAUGACGUCAAAUCAUCAUGCCCCUUAUGACCUGGGCUACACACGUGCUACAAUGGUUGGUACAACGAGUUGCGAGUCGGUGACGGCGAGCUAAUCUCUUAAAGCCAAUCUCAGUUCGGAUUGUAGGCUGCAACUCGCCUACAUGAAGUCGGAAUCGCUAGUAAUCGCGGAUCAGCACGCCGCGGUGAAUACGUUCCCGGGCCU
rnacentral:rRNA from 1 species